rnacentral:lncRNA from 1 species
CUUAUCAAGGUAAGAAUAAACUUACCUUUGUUUUCUCAACAGGUUCAUUUGGUGAAGGCUCUUUCAGGGAAGUCAGCAUUUGACAUAAGUGUGAGGAGCACGGGGCUUUACACAAUAGAUAUUCAGUGUCUCAGCAAGCUUCGACCCCCCUCAGCCAGGGCCUUCUGAAGGAACACCUCUUGUCCAGAGCUUUGGCUAUGUCACAGCUAAAGGGGCUGAAGGCUGAAAGGUGAAUAAAUAAGUACAAAGGAAUCAUCAGUACAACGAGAGACAAAGAUAAUUCUAUCAUCAGUCUUCAGAACUGGAGUACAACACAACGAGCCAAUAACAGGAGCACUGAAACGAGGUCCAGUGGACAAAAAGGGGCCAAUAAAUUUUAACAUGAAGCUUGAGAGGACGCUAUUCUUGGAGUUUGGAGGCAGGUGGGGUCAGCAUCACCAGAACUAUUAUAGAACUCCACAUAAUCAACAUGGAGAGACUGACGGCAGGCACCACUCAAGUUACAGUUUCUAUUUUAUGCAGGGCCAGGCUUGGACUAUUAUGAAUGUUGCUGAACACUGUUAAUCAAGCUUACACAGCUAUUUUGAUGGCAAACAAUUAGAACUCUGCAGCUCUACCUUGCAAUUAGCUUCAGGGAUAUGGACCUCAGCACCAUAAUAAUGAAAGAGACCUCCUUCAAGAGCGGUAAUGAGAUUUACAAUUAUGACCCCAAAUAACCUCUGAAAAUAACCAAUCUGCAAAUUUAGAUGUGUUUAUCAAUAAUCUCUCUCUUUUUAUGAAAAUAAAUUUGAGAAUUUUUCUCA